rnacentral:rRNA from 1 species
AUUGAACGCUGGCGGCAGGCUUAACACAUGCAAGUCGAGCGGAGUGAUGGUGCUUGCACUAUCACUUAGCGGCGGACGGGUGAGUAAUGCUUAGGAAUCUGCCUAUUAGUGGGGGACAACAUCUCGAAAGGGAUGCUAAUACCGCAUACGUCCUACGGGAGAAAGCAGGGGAUCACUUGUGACCUUGCGCUAAUAGAUGAGCCUAAGUCGGAUUAGCUAGUUGGUGGGGUAAAGGCCUACCAAGGCGACGAUCUGUAGCGGGUCUGAGAGGAUGAUCCGCCACACUGGGACUGAGCCACGGCCCAGACUCCUACGGGAGGCAGCAGUGGGGAAUAUUGGACAAUGGGGGGAACCCUGAUCCAGCCAUGCCGCGUGUGUGAAGAAGGCCUUAUGGUUGUAAAGCACUUUAAGCGAGGAGGAGGCUCUUUUGGUUAAUACCCAAGAUGAGUGGACGUUACUCGCGGAAUAAGCACCGGCUAACUCUGUGCCAGCCGCCGCCGUAA